UGAUUGGAUGUACGCAGUGCCUUGGCUUGGGCACUUGUGUCUUUGCCUAUCCCAAAAAAACCCGAAUCGAAUUUGAAGAACUAUUUUUGUUUCAAUUGAUUAAACAAUGAAAUGUUGUUUAUUAACAGAUAGAGAAAAUCAAAAAUCAAGGAGAAAUGAAAUCAUCGUAUUUUGUGCUGUGCUGCUUAUUUGCUUAGCUUAUGUUCUGCUACUGCUACUGCGGUGCAAAGGCAAAUGCAAAACGCAUGGAAUACGACGCAUUAUAAAAUAUUUGAUAUGAUUUUUAAAUUUAAUUGGGACUAAAACUUACCAAUAGAGUUAGAUUUAAAUUGUAAGAUGUUUUCUUUUCAAGUUUAAAACAAGUAUUUUAAUUAAAAAUCAAAGAAAAAUCUGUUAAAAGAAAUUUCUUGUGUGUUGUUUGGGAUAAAAUGCCAUGGAAA